GACGUACCACCCAAACGUUAUUCGGAAUCACUGGGCUUAAAGGGUCCGUAGGCGGUCAGGAAAGUUGGGUGUGAAAUACCUCAGCUCAACUGAGGAAUUGCGCUCAAAACUACCUGGCUUGAGAAAGACAGAGGUGAGCGGAACUGAUGGUGGAGCGGUGAAAUGCAUUGAUAUCAUCAGGAACACCGGUGGCGAAAGCGGCUCACUGGGUCUUUUCUGACGCUGAUGGACGAAAGCUAGGGGAGCGAACGGGAUUAGAUACCCCGGUAGUCCUAGCCUUAAACGAUGAGCACUAGAUCGAGGGGACCCUCACAUCCUCUUGGUCGUAGGGAAACUGUUAAGUGCUCCGCCUGGGGAGUAUGGUCGCAAGGCUGAA
rnacentral:rRNA from 1 species